GGGGGAGCAAGCGUUGUUCGGAUUUACUGGGCGUAAAGGGCGUGUAGGCGGCCACCGCAAGUCGACUGUGAAAUCUCCGGGCUUAACUCGGAAAGGUCAGCCGAUACUGCGGGGCUAGAGUGCAGAAGGGGCAACUGGAAUUCUCGGUGUAGCGGUGAAAUGCGUAGAUAUCGAGAGGAACACCUGCGGCGAAGGCGGGUUGCUGGGCUGACACUGACGCUGAAACGCGAAAGCUAGGGGAGCGAACGGGAUUAGAUACCCCGGUAGUCCUAGCCUUAAACGAUGAAUGCUUGGUGUCUGGGGUUUUAUAGUCCCCGGGUGCCGUCGCUAACGCUUUAAGCAUUCCGCCUGGGGAGUACGGUCGCAAGACUG
rnacentral:rRNA from 1 species